AAAAAUUCAUCAACAUCUAAAGGAAAAGGACGCAUUACGUAAAGAGGCACGAACGACAAAUCGAAAAAAGGCUUUUGUCUGAAAUCAAUUCAGUUCAAAACAUUGCUGUCGGCAAUAGACUCCGUUUAAGAAACCACUCUCAAGAACGAAGCGCAAAGUUGGCAUCUGGGAUACAACGUUUACAUCCAUGUGAGAGAAAACAACCAUUGUGUGGAUAUUCGUCAGUACUGGAAACCGAACGAAGAGUCGGACUUUGUUCCUACUAGAAAAGGACUCUGCUUUAGACCUUUUGAAUUUAACGCUCUCAAAGACUUAUUGCCAGACAUUGAAAAUUGUCUACCCGAAUUAAAAGACGUGGAAUGCUGUUCUGAACGCGAUGCGGUCAUCAGAAUCAACAAGGAAUGCUGCAGUGCAACAUUUGCAAUCCAAACGAUUUCUAAAACUGGUGAAAAAAAAACAGUCAAAGAAAAACAAACUCUGACUUUUUUCUUAGUGAUUUUGACUUUAAAAAAACCUAAUUUAUUUUCAGUGUGUGUCAUUUUAUUUCAUGUUCUUUCUUAUUCACAGCGUUUUUUACCAUUUGCUUUAUAAUAAUUUAUGUUGUUUGAACCUUUCAUUUAAAACAAACUUUUUUUAACAACGUUUUACAAUAAAUUUCAUGUAAUUGUUUAUUUACAGUCAAUGUGUCAUUUGUCUUAUAAUAUUUGAAUUCUUUCUUGUGUCAAUAAAAAUAAUCAAACUUG
rnacentral:sRNA from 1 species